GUGGCUGGCUGGCGGCCGGAAGAGGAUAUUUACUGCCCUCUGUCUUUGGAACAGCUUCACACUUCUUGUGCUUCCAGCGUUGACCUCCCCACUGAUAGCGUCUCCGCUUGUUCCUGAGCCUGGCUUGUUUUCCCAUGCAUUGCAACAGCCUGAAACAGCCAGGGCAGGACCAUUAUCUCCUAUCCGCUCCCAGAGCACUCUGUAUGCCCACAGCAUCAGCUACAGAACAAUAACUAAGAAUCCGAAGGGAAUUUUCCGUUGAUGUACAUUCCACCCACUCACUGUUUGGCAAGUGAUCAGAUGCUGUUCCUGAAGAAUGCAAUGCUGAGUGGUCAGCAGUGUCCUGCACUAGCCCCAGCCACGUGUCUGCAGCGCAGGUUAUAAGAUCCCGCUGGGAGGCAGAAGCAGUGCCAACUUGUGGUUCAGGAGAACAGGACUCGGAAGAAGGCAAAUCUGGGUAUUUGUGUUCACUCAUCCUGCCGUGUGCCUUAAGACCAGUCUUAAGUCGACAAGCCAGAGCACCUGGAAUGCAACCCAGCGAUCCUCAGUAAUCCCGGGCCAGUUUCGUAACCAACAGACCUUGCUUCUUCCUGUUUACACAAGUGUUGUACAAAAACCGGCCCAAGAACCUGCCAGCGCUGUCAGUACAAACUGUAACCAUCUCUAAGCAUUAACUACGUGCGGCUUGAAGUUUGUGAGCACGCUCUGCCCUAGCUGUUCCAUAGUGCGAGCUUUCGUAAAGCAAUUGUA